AUUGCUUAUAUACCCCUGAAAAGUUCCCGAUUUUUCAAUUUAUCCCUCUUAGAAGGCCAAUAUUGAAAAUACCCUUUCUACGUUCUAAUCUAUUUCUAAUAUACCCCUUGAGUUAAAAUCUGUUAAUUAAUUCUGUUAUCUCUGUAAAAUUACUAUUUUACCCAUUCAAAUAUUUCCUUCCACCAUCACUGACUUUCUUAUUUGCCCUUAAAGUCAGGGGCACAAAAAGUAUUUUGACUUUUGAUCUUUUCCAAUAUACCCCUCUAUCGCCACCAAUAUUUCUUAUUUGCCCUUAAGUUAAGGGCAAAAUUGGUAUUUUAAUUUUUUUUUACUGUGGUAGAUAUUUAACUCACGUUUAACCCAAGUUAACUUAACAAGAGAUAACUGCGGGGGUAUUUUGCAAUAACGGUGGAACAUAUGAGGGGUAUUUUAGAAAGAAAAAAAAAGUAGGGGUAAAUCGAAUAUUUUCAAACGUAUGAGGGGUAUAUAGGCAAUUAUCCCUUAAUUUAAAUUGU
rnacentral:lncRNA from 1 species